ensembl:lncRNA
ACGCAAUGUGUUCAAAAUUGAAAGAAUAAUCUUCCCCCAGCCCCUCCCACUUCCACACGUUCCUAUUUCUGCGAGCUGCCCUACCUUUUCAGCAUCCUCAUUAUCCUCAGCUCUCAACUUUCAAUGAUUCCAAAUAGCUAGUCAUUUGCCAACACCUGCAAUUUCUACCUCCAUGACAUCUCUAGUAUCCAAGUCCUUCUCUACCGUUAGGACUACCUCUUCAGUUCAGGUCCUCCUCCUUUCUUGUCUAAAUUAUUGCCAUAGCCUUCCAAGUGGGCUCCUUGUCUCAUCUCUCUGUCACUACUGCUAUUUUCCCAAUUGAAGACUUAACCAUGUUAUUUUCCUACUCAAUCAACCCCAUGGGCUCUAAAAUUAAAACUGCUUUGGUUAGCAUAAAAAAACCCUUAUCUUCCAUCUUAGAAUCAAUAUUGUAUAUUGGUUCCAUGGCAAAAGAGGGGUAAGGGUUAGGCAAUGGAGGUUAAGUGACUUGCUUAGGGACACACAGCUAGGAAGAAUCUUUGCUCUUAUUUGAACUCAAGACUGUCUCUAAACUAAGUCACCUAGCUGCCCCACUCUGUUUAGCUUCUAAAGUACUAUGUAGUCUUAACUCUAUAAAGACUCAAUCUUCCUUGCUUCGUUGUAUAUUAUUUCAUUUCUGUGAUCUUGAUGUGCUUUUUAUUCCUCUACUUACUCCCUAUUGCUGUAGUAGUAGUAGUAGUAGUCUCUCGGUAACCGAGGAUGACAAUCGUCUUUGUGUGCUUUCAUCUGUGAUGUAGAUGAGUGUGCACAAAGACACUUGUGAAUGAAGGAGAUUUAAGUGGAAAAGCUGAUGCACAGAGAUAGUCCCACUCUCUCGGCAUUGGAAGCCUGGGUCCAGUGGCAUGAAAAAUCGUUACACCUGGAGACUUCCUCAGCUGCAUUGGAUGGCCAUGUUGUCCUUUGUGCUCCAACACGCCCUAAGCACUCCACAGUGCUUUGCUGCGUCGCCCUCUCAGCCGUUGAACCUUCUUAUUGGUUUCUUCCGUCUGUUCAGCCGAAGCAGUCUUCACAUGCUGGGCACUACAUGAUUCUUCUCAUUGCUAUUGCUUACUCGUGAAGGAUUUGCUGAAAACAAGAAUGCAAGCACUUGAUGAAAGUGUGGAGAUCUCUCCUUUGCCUUUCAAAGAAGACUGCUAAAAAGAGGCAUUUGAUAAACAGCUACCUUUGCUCUGAGAAAGGAAAUUGGAGUAACUGGUUGAAAGAAGAUGGAAUGUAGAACCACCUGAAAGUCUUUUCCUUGGGGCAAAUGAGGGCAAAUUAGCAAUGUUGGGCAUAGUAGGGCUUUUAUUGCCCACAAAUGGAACCCAGAGCAUGCUGGUACAGAACAGAGGGCCUUUCUUCAAAUGAAAGUGCUUAUUUCUUGGUUCUAUAUUUUCAAAAAAUCUGUCUUGCUUGUGACAGUAGAAGGAAGACAAAACUAACUUCCAUAAAACUUCAUCCUACCUUGCAUUUUUCUGCCUUACUGAAUGGGGCCAAGUAGUAUCAUGUUAAAUUGGAACUGAAAGCACCAAAUAGAUGUCAACAGGGACUGCAGAAUGGGUUUGGCUCAGGUUCCAGAUGCACCUGGAAAAAGGAAAUGAACAUACAAAUCAUAUAAACCAAAGUUCUUGGGGGGAAAAAUUCCAGAGAAUUGUGGGAGCUUCUUCAAAGACUAUGGUUUUCAUGAAGGAAAAAGGGAAGGUGAUUUUCAUAUGAACAGGGUUGAUUAAAAGCCACACUACUCAAGCCAAGAGCCAGGUUGAAGUCCAAAGGUUCUCUGAAAACAAAGUUUUAAAGAACCAUAGAAUGUUGGCACUGCACCAUUUAGUCCAAGGGUUCUUACCAUUUUUUGAGUCAUGUACCCCAUGGACAGCCUAGAGACAUUAAUGGACUUCUCUGGGUAAUAUCAAAUGUAUAAAAUAAAAUUCAUAGGACUACAAAGGAUUAUAUUGAA